UACGAAGGGGGCUAGCGUUGCUCGGAAUCACUGGGCGUAAAGGGCGAGUAGGCGGCUUUUUAAGUCGGGGGUGAAAGCCUGUGGCUCAACCACAGAAUUGCCUUCGAUACUGGAAAGCUUGAGACCGGAAGAGGACAGCGGAACUGCGAGUGUAGAGGUGAAAUUCGUAGAUAUUCGCAAGAACACCAGUGGCGAAGGCGGCUGUCUGGUACGGAUCUGACGCUGAGGCGCGAAAGCGUGGGGAGCAAACAGG
rnacentral:rRNA from 1 species